CCUACGGGAGGCUGCAGUCGAGAAUCAUUCACAAUGGGGGAAACCCUGAUGGUGCGACGCCGCGUGGGGGAAUGAAGGUCUUCGGAUUGUAAACCCCUGUCAUGUGGGAGCAAAUUAAAAAGAUAGUACCACAAGAGGAAGAGACGGCUAACUCUGUGCCAGCAGCCGCGGUAAUACAGAGGUCUCAAGCGGUGUUCGGCAUCACUGGGCGUAAAGCGUGCGGAGGCUGUUUCGUAAGUCCGGUGUGAAAGGCGCGGGCUCAACCCGCGGACGGCACAUGAUACUGCGAGACUAGAGUAAUGGAGGGGGAACCGGAAUUCUCGGUGUAGCAGUGAAAUGCGUAGAUAUCGAGAGGAACACUCGUGGCGAAGGCGGGUUGCUGGACAUUAACUGACGCUGAGGCACGAAGGCGAGGGGAGCGAAAGGGAUUAGAUACCCUGGUAGUC
rnacentral:rRNA from 1 species